CAAUACCUACGGGGGGCAGCAGUGAGGAAUAUUGGUCAAUGGACGAGAGUCUGAACCAGCCAAGUAGCGUGAAGGAUGACUGCUCUACGGGUCGUAAACCUCUUUUGCCGGGGAGCAAGGGCCGGGACGCGUCCCGGCCCGGAGAGUACCCGGAGAAAAAGCAUCGGCUAACUCCGUGCCAGCAGCCGCGGUAAUACGGAGGAUGCGAGCGUUAUCCGGAUUUAUUGGGUUUAAAGGGGGCGCAGGCGGGCUUUUAAGUCAGCGGUAAAAAUUGGGGGCUCAACCCCGUCCGGCCGUUGAAACUG
rnacentral:rRNA from 1 species